rnacentral:rRNA from 1 species
GCUCGGAAGGUGCGCCGCGCCUGCGUUCCGGGUCGGAGAUCUUGAACUGGACUCUCCCGGCGCUUAGGACGCGGUCCGACCGUGUGCACUUUCCGCGGGCAGAGCGCCACGACCGGUUCUCGGGCGGUCAGAAGGCGGCUGGGGAUGGUAGGUGUGCGCCUCGGCGCGCACUGGUAUAGCCCCGGCCUGUCCCGAUCCGCUCUGGGGACCGAGGAGCCGCCGCUGGCAAGUAGGCCGCCUCGCCCUCCUGGGAUGUCCCGACCGGCAGAGACUGGGCAACCGUGUCUGCCGACCGCUUCCCUGGACGGUUGUUUUAGGGGUGGGCCCUGCCGGCACAGGGUCGGUGGCGAAUCGGUCGGCCCUCCACCCGACCCGUCUUGAAACACGGACCAAGGAGUCUAACAUGCGCGCGAGUCGUUGGGUCGUACGAAACCCGAAGGCGAAGUGAAAGCGAGGGCCGGUCUCUGACCGUGCUCAGGUGGGAUCCCGCCGGGGGGGGUGUCUCCGGACCUUCCCCCGUUUUGCAAGUCGAGUGGGCGCACCACCGGCCCGUCUCGUCCGCGCUGUCGGUGAGGCGGAGCAUGAGCGUGCACGUUGGGACCCGAAAGAUGGUGAACUAUGCCUGAGUAGGACGAAGCCAGAGGAAACUCUGGUGGAGGUCCGCAGCGAUU